rnacentral:rRNA from 1 species
UACGUAGGGUGCAAGCGUUGUCCGGAAUCACUGGGCGUAAAGGGCGCGUAGGCGGCUCAUGAAGGCUGUGGUGAAAGUCCGGGGCUCAACCUCGGAUCGGCCGUGGCGACUCGUGGGCUGGAGCACUGUAGAGGCGGGUGGAAUUCCGGGUGUAGCGGUGGAAUGCGUAGAGAUCCGGAAGAACACCAGUGGCGAAGGCAGCCCCCUGGGCUAACACUGACGCUCAGGCACGGAAGCGUGGGGAGCAAACAGG